rnacentral:rRNA from 1 species
AGAGCUUGAUCAUGGCUCAGAUUGAACGCUGGCGGCAGGCCUAACACAUGCAAGUCGAACGGUAACAGGAAACAGCUUGCUGUUUCGCUGACGAGUGGCGGACGGGUGAGUAAUGUCUGGGAAACUGCCUGAUGGAGGGGGAUAACUACUGGAAACGGUAGCUAAUACCGCAUAACGUCGCAAGACCAAAGAGGGGGACCUUCGGGCCUCUUGCCAUCAGAUGUGCCCAGAUGGGAUUAGCUAGUAGGUGGGGUAACGGCUCACCUAGGCGACGAUCCCUAGCUGGUCUGAGAGGAUGACCAGCCACACUGGAACUGAGACACGGUCCAGACUCCUACGGGAGGCAGCAGUGGGGAAUAUUGCACAAUGGGCGCAAGCCUGAUGCAGCCAUGCCGCGUGUAUGAAGAAGGCCUUCGGGUUGUAAAGUACUUUCAGCGGGGAGGAAGGGAGUAAAGUUAAUACCUUUGCUCAUUGACGUUACCCGCAGAAGAAGCACCGGCUAACUCCGUGCCAGCAGCCGCGGUAAUACGGAGGGUGCAAGCGUUAAUCGGAAUUACUGGGCGUAAAGCGCACGCAGGCGUUUUGUUAAGUCAGACGUGAAAUCCCCGGGCUCAACCUGGGAACUGCAUCUGAUACUGGCAAGCUUGAGUCUCGUAGAGGGGGGUAGAAUUCCAGGUGUAGCGGUGAAAUGCGUAGAGAUCUGGAGGAAUACCGGUGGCGAAGGCGGCCCCCUGGACGAAGACUGACGCUCAGGUGCGAAAGCGUGGGGAGCAAACAGGAUUAGAUACCCUGGUAGUCCACGCCGUAAACGGUGUCGACUUGGAGGUUGUGCCCUUGAGGCGUGGCUUCCGGAGCUAACGCGUUAAGCCGACCGCCUGGGGAGUACGGCCGCAAGGUUAAAACUCAAAUGAAUUGACGGGGGCCCGCACAAGCGGUGGAGCAUGUGGUUUAAUUCGAUGCAACGCGAAGAACCUUACCUGGUCUUGACAUCCACGGAAGUUUUCAGAGAUGAGAAUGUGCCUUCGGGAACCGUGAGACAGGUGCUGCAUGGCUGUCGUCAGCUCGUGUUGUGAAAUGUUGGGUUAAGUCCCGCAACGAGCGCAACCCUUAUCCUUUGUUGCCAGCGGUCCGGCCGGGAACUCAAAGGAGACUGCCAGUGAUAAACUGGAGGAAGGUGGGGAUGACGUCAAGUCAUCAUGGCCCUUACGACCAGGGCUACACACGUGCUACAAUGGCGCAUACAAAGAGAAGCGACCUCGCGAGAGCAAGCGGACCUCAUAAAGUGCGUCGUAGUCCGGAUUGGAGUCUGCAACUCGACUCCAUGAAGUCGGAAUCGCUAGUAAUCGUGGAUCAGAAUGCCACGGUGAGUACGUUCCCGGGCCUUGUACACACCGCCCGUCACACCAUGGGAGUGGGUUGCAAAAGAAGUAGGUAGCUUAACCUUCGGGAGGGCGCUUACCACUUUGUGAUUCAUGACUGGGGUGAAGUCGGAACAAGGUAACCGUAGGGGAACCUGCGGUUG